rnacentral:rRNA from 1 species
CUACGGGUGGCACCAGUGGGGAAUUUUGGACAAUGGGGGCAACCCUGAUCCAGCCAUGCCGCGUGAGUGAAGAAGGCCUUCGGGUUGUAAAGCUCUUUCAGCCGGGAAGAAAUCGUGCAGGCUAAUAUCCUGCAUGGAUGACGGUACCGGACCAAGAAGCACCGGCUAACUACGUGCCAGCAGCCGCGGUAAUACGUAGGGUGCGAGCGUUAAUCGGAAUUACUGGGCGUAAAGCGUGCGCAGGCGGAUGCUUAAGUCAGAUGUGAAAUCCCCGGGCUUAACCUGGGAAUUGCAUUUGAAACUGGGGGCCUAGAGUGCGUCAGAGGGGGGUGGAAUUCCAGGUGUAGCAGUGAAAUGCGUAGAUAUGUGGAGGAACACCAAUGGCGAAGGCAGCCCCCUGGGAUGACACUGACGCUCAUGCACGAAAGCGUGGGGAGCAAACAGGAUUAGAUACCCGGGUAGUC